rnacentral:lncRNA from 1 species
CAAGGAGUUCUUGAUGCUCAUAGGUUGCACAGACCAUCAAGAAGAACCUCUCAAAAGUAAUCAAGGAGUUGUUUAGGAUGCUCAAUAAAGAACAAAGGAUAUGAGUCGACUGUGAUAUGCUUGAGCCAGCUCUGACCCACUCAGAUUGAAAAUUUCAUAGUCCAAGAGUCAACCAUAGAAGCUCAUGAGUCAACUUCAUUAGACGAGUCGACCCCAUUCGAACAAGCACCAACUCUAGAAUGGUCUCAAGGUGCC